rnacentral:lncRNA from 1 species
AGAGUGUUCCAGGCAGAAGGAAUCAUGCAUACAAAGGCCCCCCAACACAGCAGGUUCCGGGAAAGUAGAAUAAGAGAGGCCACGGUGUUGAGUGUGAAUGGGAUGUUGAGAGAUAAGGCUAGAGAUGCUUUGUUAAGGGUCCUGUGAGCAGGGUAAAGAGUUUGGAUUCAUCCCAAGGGCUCUGGGGAGCUAAAGAGGAAUGUAGGCAGGCAGAGUGCAUGGUCAGAUGCUGGCUGGAGGCAGGGUGACUGGAAGCAGACCGUCCACAUCUCAACCUUGGUCUCCCGGCAG